UCGAUACUCUCUCAACACAAAAAAACCCUAUUUCUCAAUCCAUACUCUCUCAAUCUUUGGAACUCCAUUUUUUUUUUUCAAUCGUCGAUACUCUCAAAUCUCAAUCCCUGAAACCUUAUCUCUCUCAAUCGUUAGUUCGUUACUCUCAUUCUCUGAAACCCCAUCUCUCACAAUCAAUAGUCAUUUAAUCUCUCUCAAUGGCUGCUAAGGCAAAAUCCGGUAGAGGCCGAGAUGGUCGAGGCGUCGGUGGUGGUUGAGGCGUCGGUAGUGGCCGAGUAACCACUCGGUGGGGGUUCAAAUGGAGGUGUCGGCUCGUCUUCUCACGCCUCUAACAGGUCAGUUUCCCAGCGAUCUAGAACACCACCUAUUCCAUCCCAAUAUCCUCCAUCGACACAACCGCAACAACUCUCGCCGUCGUUCAACCACAGCCGCAAGUCCCUCAUCAGCAGCAACAACCGCCUCAUUAUCAGCAAAAACCAUUUCCUCAUCUGAUUCCAGAGCAUCAACCACCGCUUUCUUAUCAGAUUCCCCAGCAACAACCACUGCCUCCUCAGAUUCCAGAGCAUCAACCUCUAAACCCUAAUGCUCAAGAGCCACAACCGGAAGGCUACCAACAGAUGUUAGAUAAUUUGUUGGCUCUUCCUGGCCGAGAACAUCUACCAAUCUUGAGUCCACAUCCUCUUCCGAUUCUGACAUUCAGAAGAACACAUGGUAAAGAGAGUUUCUGGUUUUUUUUAUUUGCUUUGAUUGAAAUAAAUAGUAUACUAUUGGAGCCUUAGGUUAGUAAUUUGAUUGAAAUAAAUAGUCUACUAUUGGAGCCUUAGGUUAGUAAUUUGAUUGAAAGAGAUAGUCGACAUGUGAGUUUCUGGUCUGCUUUUGUUGCUUUGAUUGAAUAUAUUAUGUGCUCGCUUUGACUGAAUAUAUUUGGAUGUUUGUAGUAUGAAUGUAUGAUAAUCUUGAUUUGUUUGUAUGAAUCUGCUCUUUAUCUUAUGAGACUUAUGAAAAGAACAUAGAAGAGAGAAUGAAUGAAAUGGAUGUCGAUGGUCCAGCAACUUCAGAGAAUUCGUCUGAACAAUCAACUCAUUGGACCCUCACCACUGAAGAAAAGAAUGAGAUAUUUCUCAAGUUUCCAAGAGAUUUAUACAGCCACCACAGCAUCCACAACAACAACCAUCGCACCAGCCACCAUACCAGCCAUUGUACCAGCCACUGAAGCCUUACCAAAUGAUUCAUCAACCUCUCCAUCUUAAGAAAAUAGUAUUAGGUUUGAGAUAUUUAAUUUGGAUUGCUAUGGAUAUAUAUAUGUUUUGGAUAUUGUUAUGUACUUCCUGCUUUUUGCUAUAUAUAUAAAAAAAAACUGAAUUU